GUGACAUUUAAAACCACAGUAAAAAAUGGCAGAGCUUCCAACAGCCUAGGUUCCUGAAUGACUGCAUGAAGCGUGCCCCAGCCCCUGCUGACAGUUGGACUUUAUAUGCUGCAAAGUACCACCCAGAUUUCUUCUCCAGGAUUGGAAGAUUUGUUCCCCCAGCUGUUAGAAGUGCUGCAGGAAGACAGUCCUCAGUUCUCAGUCCUCUUUGGGGAUUGCUGUGGCAAAAGAAAACUGGAGGUCCAAAAUGAUAACUCCUUCCAAGAGUAGCUCAUAUACAAAAAUUGAGAGGUGCCUGUUCUUGCUUCAACUUGGGACAAUCCUGUAGGGCCAUCCCAGAUCCAGAGCUUAUCAUCAGGUUGGUUGAUUGAUUACACUUCAACCUCUCUCUCUAUCCAAUUCAGCUUUCUUUCCCUCCCUUCCACAAGUGUUGACCCCAAGACCACUCCCUAAUAAAUGGCCUGCACACUAGUCUCCAUCUAAGACUAA